CGGGCCAGAGCUUGAAAUGAAGCGUUUUAUUUACAUUAAAAAGUUAGUUGUGAAAUUCAACUUGGCUUGA
rnacentral:tRNA from 1 species